rnacentral:lncRNA from 1 species
GUUAUUUGCAUUUAAAGAACUAUGGUAGAAUAGUAGAUGAUUGCAUAAAGUUAACAUGUUAUGUUUGCAUCGGAUAUGACUGGUAGUUUAUUUUCAGCAUAGUUUCAUGAUGCCAUGCCAUGCUUUGACUGAAUUUAUGCCAUGCUUUGGUAUGCCAUGUUUUGAUAUGUUAUGCUUUGCCGUAGCCAUGUUAGAAGUAAGUUUGAUAUGCCAUUGCCAUGCUUAGUUUCUGCCAAGAGGUAGGUUGUUUCAUACGCUUGGUUCUUGCGUUGUCAUCUGUUUGUUUGGAUGCUAUGUUUUUGGUUGUCUUGCAAGUACAUUCAAUGUACUGACCUGGCGUGUCAUGCCAGUUUUGUAGGUCGUACCGAAUUGUUCGCUUGAUCCGUCGUGCUAGGCCGUAAUCUUGCCAGUCCUGUGAGUUGUGGAGCCCAGCCUAGAUGAGAUGCUGCCAAACCAAGACUUCCGCCGCCAUUUAAAUAGACUUCCGCUGCCAUCCGUAUAGCCUUAGGGCUAUGCCAGAUAAUAGUAUUCAUCCAUGAUGUAAUCAUAUACGCAUGUAUUUGAUGAAUAUUAUUGUACCUGGAAUGUUGUAUCAUGGACCUGUCGUGCGUCAGGCGUAAUCCUGGGCUGACGUGCGAAGGCCCCCUGCUCCAUGCAGAUCGGGGUGCCACAGGGCUUGGUAUCAGAGCAGCCAGGCUGGCAUAGGUUAUCCUAGCAUUAGAUCACCGCUACCAUCAACCCGUAGGAUUUGACCCAUCCCCGGCAUCCGGCAUGGCCACUAUUAAUCAACAGGUGGCGCAGUCGGGACCGACACGUCCUCACCCUGCUGUCCCCGCCUAGUUAUCCAUGGAUAGAAUAGCAACCCAAUCCUUUCUUGUCGGACACACUGCUUUCCCUUCGCCAUUAAGGGAAAGGGGCCACACCAUGCGAGCAUGUCUCGCAUAGCUGCCUAUAAAAGCCCCCUUUCCGCUCAUCGUAUCGCUUACCCCUCAGUCAGCCAUGUCCCUGCAAAGAAGCCUAGCUAGCAACACUCCAGCCAUGGCUAGCACCUUCAAAGCUCCCAAGUUUCACAGUCGCACCCUUGCCGUCAACCACCCUGGCUUUCCACCCCUUCUUACCGAGAUGCUCACCAAAGCCUUUGGCUGCAAGGCUAGCCCCGAUUACCUGGUGUUCCAGUCGACACCCGUCCCUCACCUUCACCGCUAUGAUGCUAGAGUGCACAUCGUCCCAGGUCCCGCAGUAGAUGGCCAGCCUUUGGUUUUUCAGGGUAGAGCCAUGCCUACCACUGAUUUAGCCAUUCAGGCCGCUGCUGUGGAAGCUAUCCUAUACCUCCGAACCAAAUUCCCGCAAGUGGCAGGAAGGCGGGAGUUCUGCUUUUUCCCCGUUGUGACAGAAGCAGGAAUUCAGCCUCCUACCGCUGUUCCGGGAGAUGACCCCGCAAUCGCUCGCCUGUGCAAUAUAUCACUGCCUAGGGGAUGAUGAUGUCCAAAAUACUUGCCGAGCUUAGAACCCUAGACAAUGAUGCGGUACGAGUUGUCACGGAAGCUUAUCGUGAGGCUCGUAAAUUCGCACCCCAAGCCGUUCACCCCGCUCCCUCCAAACCAGUGCUACCCUCUCAGCCGGUGUUGUGGCCUCAGCCAAACAUCAUUACCCUCGACUCCUUCAACAAGGCUCUUUAGCGAAUCCACCAGCAGCAUUUGCUUGGAUCAAUUUCAGCCACACCCCCAGCAAUCGAACCCCAACCCAUAGUGAUGCCGGACCAUGAAGAUGGAGAUUGGCUCAGUCUUCGUCCUCCCGGAGAGCCCCAACACGGCCAGUCCUCUGCAUGACCUCAGUCACGCAGUGGGAUGGUUCUGCGAGUAGGUUAGCCAGUCUGUUUAUCCUCGAUAGGAGGAUAGAACCAUGUAUCCCGGAAUGAGUAGUUUUGUUUAGCGCGUAGAGCGUUCAUGCUUUGUGGUAUGCUUGCACUGUUUGUAACCCGUAUGAUGUGUUAUGCUUGCUUGCUGUUGGUUUCUUUUUGUGUUGUUUUGCUUGUCUCUCUGUCAAGCAGAAAUGUUUGGCAGGGUUGGCAUUGUGUUUCUAACAAGAUUUUAAUCAGUACAACACAUACACUAAAAACAACAUUGACUCGUCGGGAGUCUAUAAUAAAAAUGUGCGCUGGUGUAGGUAUAUGUAUACCAGGAUUACAUAUACCCACUAGCAUUAAAACACCUUAGUAUGAUUUAUCUGGUGUGUUUUUCAUUGCAUGUUUAUUGCAUCUGUCUGUUUGCUAGUUUAGAUUAUACUGCAUACCGCACGCACACCCGGUUCACCCACGAGUACACUUAGGGAAGUACUCGGGGGAAUGCAAAGUCACAUAUCCCUCUCUAUCUGUGCAUACCCCGUGUGCCGGAUUUCUAAACCCAACGCCUCGAAGAGGCAUUUUCAUCUGGCCAUUUCUCGUCACUCAUUCUUUUGCGUUAGCCCCGAUUGUGUUUCCGGAGAAACACUGCUAGUUUUAUUUCACUCGAUCUAGUACAACUCCCCGUUACAAAUUUCAACUCCGAUUCUACCUCAACACCUACUUUUUCAUGGAGCAAUCCGCAAAAUUUUCCCGUACCAUAGUGUGCAUCCUGAGCUGGCGCAUCCACCUCACCUACACCUGGACCCACGUGUCAACAGGUGAAACCACUGUUCAUUGGGAUGCAUCCAGCAUUUUUCGGGAGUCCGAUCUCGAGUGCCCCUAGCCAUGGAUAUAACCCUGUUUUGCUCAUAUCUCUCUCUGGGUGUACCAACUAUCGGUACCCCAACUCGUUGAAAUCUGACCGAAGGGUUCAAAAUUUACCCCGAGGUUUUCCCCGGAGUACUUAUCUUUGCAAUUGUGUUGUAACCCUAGGAAUCUCGAGGACGAGAUUCUUUUUAAGGGGGGAAGGUUUGUAACGGCCCCAAAAUUGGGUUAUCAAUUUUUGUGUUGUUAUUCCUUCCUAGCACUCAUUUUCAAAAAUUUCUCCUGAGUUUGCUGGAUGACUCUGAGAAAUUUUGUCAUUUCCAACCUUUCAAAACCUUGUUCAUGUCUUUGUCAGUGGGCAAGACCUCAUUUGCAUCAGCUCAAACCCUCUCAAACCCUAAUUCCAAUUUUUUUUUAAAUUUGAAUGUGGCCUUUGUGAUUACAAAGGAGCCAUCAUUUUCCUUGAUCUGUUGAUCAUCCCAUCUGUUCCCAGAGACCCUCCUAUUCUCCUAAUCCUUGGAUAUGCAAAAAUAUUGCCAAGUCCCAUGCAAUAUUUUUGAAUUAUGAUUUAUUCCUUUUCUUGCCUUUCUUAGGAAUAAAAUCCAAAGGCAUAGUUAACCAACUCAUAAAUCCAUGAGAAUGGGUGGAUUUGAUAUCUAUGCCUAAUCCAAACUCUGGCAAAGAUAUUGGCCAUAAUUAAAUAUGGAAAAUUCCCUUUUCCUAUUUAAUACCAAUAUUAAUUUUCUGCCAUUUUCCAAAGGAACUACUAUUUUUAUAGCAGGGAAAAUUCUCAUAUAAAUUGUGGAGCUUGUCCUUGCUAUAUAAUCACUAGUUCCAUUCUUAUAUCAUGAUCCUCAGUUCAAAAUUUUGGCACAUGAUCCAAUGCAAGUUUCAGCCUUCUCUGAAAUUUUGCAAAGGAAGUGCUUUAUUCCUAAUUCCAAUUGAGCUAAAAUUUGGCAGGGUGAUUAACCUUGAUAAAUAACCUAUGAAUACCAAAUAUGAUCUCAAUCUAUUCAUCCUAGCUCCCUGUGCAAUUUUUCAAAGUUUCUGACCAGAUUGCAACUUUGUGAAGUACCCUCAUAGAGUUUCCAAAUGGGAUGAAACUUUUCCAUCUUUCCAAGUAUCUCAAAACAUUAGCAUCCACCUAAAUUCAGUUCAUUUCAUUGAACUAUGUGAGCACAGGAGCAAUUCUUUGCUUCUGUCCAAAUUUCCAGUUUGUGAAGCAAGUAUAUUUUAUCUUGCUCCAUUAUGGCUGAAAAUAUUUCUAAUCCUUCUCCUAUCCAUAUAACCUAUCUCCAAGAAAGUUUGGCUCAUUUCAUGUAGCUAAUAUUCUCCUGGAAUUUUUCCAAAGUUUCUGGCCAGAUCUGAUGCUUGUGAAACAAGUACCAAUUUGGCAAGUCCAUUUGGUAUUAUGUUUUUGCAGCAUCUACAUAUGACCAAAUAAGGAAGCUUUGCCAAGUUUUAGCCUAAUCCAACACUCCUAGUGAGUGCUUCUUCAUCAUUUGCUUUCUGGGUCAGAUUUGGCAUUUGAACUGGAGCGAUGCUAAAUCCUUGCCCAAAUCCCUUCCAACUUCCCAGGACUGUAGUACUUGCUACCCUAAACCUCCUAGACAUCCAUUUUUCCACUUAGCCUCUCUGGUUUAGUCUCUAGGAUGUGGCCAAGUUUGCAACCGCAAACUUGUCGAGCUUGGUUCCCUCUGCGCUCUACACCUUUGCUUGUGCCAUCACCUCCGUCUUAAUGAGCUUUGGAAGGACUACGCUGUAGACAAGGUUUGGCCCUUAGUUGACGACUAGAGAGCGCAAUGUCGGUGGUGACCACGGGGCUAUGCAGGCCAAAUCGGUGGUCUAGCCACUGUUCUCGUCGGCACCCCUACUCCGGCUGGUUCUGGCUUGUCUAAACUUGUCAACCAGCUCAGCUUCGUCGUCACCGUGCGGCUGGACAGCUUGCCCCCUCCGUUUGCUUCCUCGACGAGCCGUCGCCGAACUGUUCCUGUCCCUAAGCUCGUCGUCGUUCCUUCGCCUCUAUCCGCUUCCCCCUCUUGUCCCCGAGCUCGGCUCGUCUCCGUGACCUCCUGGCACUUGUCCACGUCCCCCUCGUCGCCUUGCCGCUGCUCCCCAUGAGCUUUGGCCGUGCGUGCGCAUCGCCGGCGCACGGACAUGUCGCAUGUCGCGUGUCGCCUCGCCCCUCCCUCUAGAGCCCUCCCCCGCGGCUAUAAGUAGCCCCCGAGCCCCUCGCAGUCCACAUGCCCCCCCGAACCUCUAGCUCGAGCUCGAGGAGCUCUCUAACCCCUCCCCAUCGCCAUGGCCGCCGCCUCGGGUUCCUCUUGAUUCCCAGCACCCUAGCACCCCCGAGCCCCGUGCGCACCCUGGAUGGAUGCGCCGGACUCCAGUGAGCCUCCCCGUAGCCUCAGCCCCUCCGUGCCCCCACCGUAGCUCCAUUUUCUCCGGCGACCGAAGCCCCUCCUCGCCGCGAGCUCGACUGCUCCUUCUCUAGCACUCCUCGCCGGUAACUGAGACCACCCCGAGUUGCGCCUCGUCCUCCUGAGCUUGUGGGUAGGUCGCCUGUCGCCUGCCGUGACCGGACGCGCCGGCGAGCGCCGUCGAGGCGGCUGUCGCCCUCUGUCCGUCGCGCCCCGAGCGGGAGGAAGAAGAAGGGAGCUGACCUGGCCAGGCGGGCCCCGCGCUGUUUCCCCGACCCCACCUAGCAGCGACCCAGUCGCCCGGCCCCGCCGCUGCCGCGUUGACCGAUCCUGCCGGCGUGGAUAAGUGGCAGCGCCCCGCCACGUAGUCGUUUCCCCGCACCGAAAGCGUAUUUUCGAAAAUGCGCUUCCCUUAACCGAAAGCGUACUCGCUUCCUCUUCGGGCCAGAGUGCACUUUCCUCUCUGGAAAGCGUAUUUCUAAGAAAGGCGCGUUCAGUUUUUCCUCCAAGGGCCUGUUUGCUGAAAAACUUUCACCGAUAGGUCCCUAAACUUCAAACCUUCGUAUCUCGACAACCGUAACUCCGAUUGAGGUGAAACCAACGCUCACGUCUUUGUCUCGUCGAACUCUUUACGUUGGUAUCAUUUUCAUUAUGUUUUCACAUAGUGAAAAUGACCACUUUGCCCUUGCCCGUAAACAGCCCCCUCCGAGAGAGAACUGUUUCCGGCAAAUCUUUCCGCGAUCGUUCCACACUUUUUCUGGAGUAAUCCUCGACCCCCAGGCAAGCCAACCUCUUAUCAUGAGCCCCAAACUUGCACAUUGACUUUGCUUGCACCUCGCGUGUGUGCUUAGUUGCAGUAGUUUCUUGUCUGUUUCGUCUGCUAUUAUUUCAGUCGUGCUAAAUACUUUUGUUAUCUGCCUUGCAUGCUUGAGUUUUCAUUAAAUAAGUUGCCAUGCUAGUUUAAUGUUGUUACUGAUAAUAUCAUGCCUUUGUUUAGUUUCAUGUUAGUAGUAUCGUUGUUAUGUUGCACUGAUGUGAUUGCUAGUACUUGGUAUUGCCAUCUUUCAUAGGAUAUCACAGGUACUUGAAAUGCUUGAUGUUUUGUUACUGCAUUGGUAGGUUGCAUGUUAGUUGUUGCAUUCCUGUUAAUAAUGCUUGCAUGAUGAUUGAUGAUGGGGAAGUUAAUAAUAUGACUUAAUAACAAACCUCCUCCGUCAUCACUGAGUUAUCAUAGUGCCACUCCAAUCGAGCUUUCUCCAGUGCAACCACGCUUACCUGAUGGGAAGGUCCUAGCUGGGUCUAUUGUCAUGCCUCUCGCCGGUGCCUCCCGCGAGGGAAGGUUAUGGGCGCGCGCUACCCUGAUCAGGUAGGCGGACAUAACGUUGUGUGCUCGUUUUUGUUUUUAUGGUACCUUGUCCCCGUUUGGGACCAUUUUGCCACGACGGUGGCCGUUGGUGUCUUUGGUAGACACGGGGCCACCCAGGACUGAACCCCAAGGGGGUGUUGGUCGGAGUGGCCGGGAGAGCGUCAUGGCAGUAGCUCGGUUUUGUCGGAACGCCGUGUCCGCACGUAUGGGAGUGCGAGGCCAUGGGUUUUGUGGUGUGGGUACAGUGCGCUACCUCUGCAGAGUGUAUUCAAUCUAUCGAUAGCCGCGUCCUCGGUCAUGGGCAAAAGUUCGUAGUAGGUCACACUAUCCGGUCUCGGUAGAAAUGGAGGAUAAACCUUAAAUAACUAAGUGGAUGAAUAAUGUGAUGACUUGGGCUGUGAGACAGUCGUGAGUAAUCACGAUGACGAGUUGGUAUGAUCACGAGACAAGGUCUCGGUGAGUAUUGAACCAAGUGUGGUUCCGUUGGUGAUCCGUGCAUGAUCAUCGCUUGGUUGCGAGGCAACCCACUAGUAAGAGAGUCCGAGGGACUCGGUGCACAUUUUGUUUGCAUUGCAUGAGUAGUAAGUUGUUAUUUGCAUUUAAAGAGCUAUGGUAGAAUAGUAGAUGAUUGCAUAAAGUUAACAUGUUAUGUUUGCAUCGGAUAUGACUGGUAGUUUAUUUUCAGCAUAGUUUCAUGAUGCCAUGCCAUGCUUUGACUGAAUUUAUGCCAUGCUUUGGUAUGCCAUGUAUUGAUAUGUUAUGCUUUGCAGUAGCCAUGUUAGAAGUAAGUUUGAUAUGCCAUUGCCAUGCUUAGUUUCUGCUAUGAGGUAGGUUGUUUCAUACGCUUGGUUCUUGCGUUGUCAUCUGUUUGUUUGGAUGCUAUGUUUUUGGUUGUCUUGCAAGUACAUUCAAUGUACUGACCUGGCGUGUCAUGCCAGUUUUGUAGGUCGUACCGAAUUGUUCGCUUGAUCCGUCGUGCUAGGCCGUAAUCUUGCCAGUCCUGUGAGUUGUGGAGCCCAGCCUAGAUGAGAUGCUGCCAAACCAAGACUUCCGCUGCCAUCCGUAUAGCCUUAGGGCUAUGCCAGAUAAUUGUAUUCAUCCAUGAUGUAAUCAUAUACACAUGUAUUUGAUGAAUAUUAUUGUAC